UACGUAGGGGGCAAGCGUUGUCCGGAAUCAUUGGGCGUAAAGCGCGUGUAGGCGGCUCGAUAAGUCUGCUGUGAAAGUCCAGGGCUCAACCCUGGAAUGCCGGUGGAAACUGUCGAGCUAGAGUCCGGAAGAGGCGAGUGGAAUUCCUGGUGUAGCGGUGAAAUGCGCAGAUAUCAGGAGGAACACCAAUGGCGAAGGCAGCUCGCUGGGACGGUACUGACGCUGAGACGCGAAAGCGUGGGGAGCAACAGG
rnacentral:rRNA from 1 species